UAGCCAAUUUGCAUAAUUGACCAUGUGCACGCUGAAAUGGACGCUGAAGGAAUGGAAUAACGUCGUGGGAGGGACAAAAGGUGAAACCGCUUUUAGUGCUGCGAGAGGACUGGGCCGCCUGUGAGUGCUCUGGGACGGUGGAGAUGUUGACGGAAGUACCCGCUGCAUGUCGAGAACAAUUAGAACGAGAAGUCCUUUCACAUCAAAGUGUCCAUUAACACCAAAAAGAAGUCGCUUGAUUUGUCGCUAGGCGCUGUUUUGAAAAGGAGUCGCUAGAGGGGUCAGCAAACUGGCUAAAUAGAGCGAGAACGUCACCAAAUUGGCAACCCUGCCGCCAACAGAUGAAACGGGGUUUAAAAAAAUAAAACGGGGCGCAAGUGCGUCACGUCAUAACACCAAUGCAUUGUGGGACUUGAAGUUUCAACUUCAAUGAAGCACGUCAACCUAAUGUAGUGGCAUCUUGUGGACACGUCCGGUGAGUUACCUUUAUGUCCAAAAGUAUUAA